rnacentral:rRNA from 1 species
UCGAGAAUAAUUCACAAUGGGCGAAAGCCUGAUGGUGCAACGCCGCGUGGAGGAUGAAGGUCUUCGGAUUGUAAACUCCUGUCAUCGGGGAGUAAGACCUGGGCGUGAAUAGCGCACAGGGUUGAUAGUACCCGAAGAGGAAGGGACGGCUAACUUCGUGCCAGCAGCCGCGGUAAUACGAAGGUCCCAAGCGUUGUUCGGAAUCACUGGGCGUAAAGGGAGCGUAGGCGGCGUGGUAAGUCAGAUGUGAAAUCCCGGGGCUCAACCCCGGAACUGCAUCCGAUACUGCCGUGCUUGAGGGUUGGAGAGGUAGCUGGAAUUCUCGGUGUAGCAGUGAAAUGCGUGGAUAUCGAGAGGAACACUCGUGGCGAAGGCGAGCUACUGGACAACAUCUGACGCU